AAUGUUAGAUGUUUCCUGUUCCAAAGUGUGCACCACAGCCCCUGGGCUCCGUGCCUGACUUUCUCCAGGGCAGACAUCUGGAGGAUGACUCAGGGACCCACACAAAGAGCUGUCUGCAGCCUGGACCCUACAACCCUGGGCACCCCAGUGGGACACCCCAAAAGAGCAGAAUGGCACGAGGAUGGAAAGGCCCCAACUGUGGGUUCUCCUUGCCUGGCUCUUCAUCCAAAAAAUUGAAAGCAGCAAAGGACCCACAAGAUUACUGUCAUGAGCCCCCAACCCUCCUGUUACAGAGGGAGAGAGCAACUGAAGCCAGAGUGGAGAAAGGAUCCUGUGUGGGCUGAACUGUGUUCUCCAAAAUCCAUGUGCUGAAAUCCUGAUCCCCGUUUCACAGAAUGGGACUGCACUUGGAAAGAAGGCCUUUAAAGAGGUGAUUCAGGUAAGACAAGGUUGUUGGGGAGGCCUAAUCCCAUAUGACUAGAGUCCUUACAAGAAGAGGAGAUUAGGACACAGACACACAUGGACCACGUGAAGACAAUGAGAAGGCAGCAUCUGCAAGGCAAGGAGAGAGGCCUCAGGAGAAACCACCCCUGCAACACCUUGAUCUUGGGCUUCCAGCCUCCAGGACGAUGAGAAAAUACAUUUCUGUUGCUUAAGCCACAGAGCUGGUGGUUUCUUGUUAUGGCAGCCCUAGCAGACUAAUACGCCCUUAAAUUAUAUAACAGGAGGUGGCAGUGGAGAAGUCCCUGUGGCUGACCCCAGAUCUGUCCAUUGCCCCUGUCUCAUUGUCACUGGAUGCAUUUCUCUUCUCUUUUAGGCAAGGAUGCAGCACAUAUAUACACACAUGCACGUGCUAACACACACACACACACACACACACACACACAUCCUAAAGAGUAAGUAUAUAGUUAUUCAGGUGGAGAAAAAGAAUAAGAAAUUAUGUAAAGGAAAGGAAAAGAAACAGCUCCAGCAACAUGUGGGGGAGCUAUGGCCCUGUAGGUGGGUUCAGGAGAAGAUCCCCAGUUCCAGGAAGCCUUAAGAAAAGCUGGAGAGGGUCAGGAGAACAGGUGAGAGGCAGGCAGGGCUGGACCCUGGAGCAUCUAGGUUCCCAGGGAGGAGCUGAGACUUCAUCCUGCAAACAACAGGUUCCGUGAAGGAUUUUAGAUGGAGUGACAUGGUCAUCUUCAGUCUCAGGCAGUUCAUUCUGGCAACAGAGGAAACCUGGAUGUUGGAUGGAGAGUUGAAGCAGACAGCCCAGGGGUCCCUUCAAUGAUGGCCUGUGGGGUAUGUUGCCCUCCCUGUCUCCUUGUGGCCCCCCAGAACAAGUGGGACAAUCCCAGGGAAGGCAGGUGGCUCUGCAGCCAUACAGCAGGGGAAUGUGCAGCCUCUAGGGGAAGGAGGCAGCACCCAGCCCUGGGGAUUAUUUUUUAUCAGAGCUCAAAGAGCAAAGCAGUCUGCAAAGUUGAAGAGUAGUUGAGAUCUCAUGCAUUCGAGUGCAAUCCCUGUACAAAACACCAAGAUACUUUAUAGAAACAUUAGGAGGCAGCAGCCUCCCUGUUGAUGAGUUCCCUCUUAAAUAAAAUCCACAUGUUAUUUAUGUUCUUUGACCCA
rnacentral:lncRNA from 13 species